GUUGCAGAAGUACUCAGCAAAAACCAGAGACUGAGACAGUUAAUAUUGUCCUUCUACAACACAAAUGAAAGAGCAGUGGAAAUACUGUGUGAGGGCCUGAAACAUCCAGACUGUGAAGUUGAGAAACUGACGCUUGAUGGAAAGAUUCUGAACGAAUCCUGCAGCAGGCAUGUUGCAGAAGUACUCAUCAGAAAUCAGGGAUUGAGAGAGUUACAUUUGUCCAUCUCUUGGACAAGUAAGAGAUCAGUGGAUAUGCUGUGCGAUGGGCUCCAACAUCCAGACUGAAAAGUAGAGAAACUAUGUUUGAAUGGAAAAGAUAUUAUACGGAAUGGAGAAUGGAAUGACAUAUUGGUUUGUGGGAAAGACCUUUGGAGCCAGGAGGAACUGCUGCAGCCUAUCAUGGCCCAGGCCCAGGCCCAGGACGCUGAUUCUGAAUCUCAGACUGACCUUCAAGAAGCUGCUCCAGCUGAACCUGUGGAGUUUCAGCCUCAGGAGAGACAAGGCCAGGAAUCACAUGAGGCUGAUCAAAACAGGCACCACCUCAGCAGCUGGAGAAGUCCGAUGAGGAUGACAUAAGGCCCCCAAGCCCCCGCAAACGGCAAGUAGAGUGAAGAGCAGAGCAAAGAUGUUCUAUGAGUCUUCUUGCCAAGCAAGGGAGCCAAUCUCCUGAUUUAAGAGGCAGUUCUGACCCAUGUGCCUUGCUUGAAACAACUGUCUGAUCUCUGGCUUUUGUGUGAUACUCAUGUGUGGAUUCUGCCUGUGAAAUUCUGACCCCUGGACUGGCUGAAGACCCUGACCCAGCUCUCUGGAUCUUGCACCGAUUUUGGACUAUUCUUCUGUGUGUUCCUGUUAAAAAGCAAAUCACUCAGGCAAGCAUCUGAGACUCUGUUUUGAUCUGCAUGCUUUGACCCUUGUUAUCUCUUAACCUUGAAUAAACUGUGAAUUACCACAGCAACUGUGUGUGAGUCAGUAUUUGAAACCAGGAGCAGGACACAGCCUAGGCAAAGAUCAGACCAAAGGCAGCUGAGCCUGCUGCAGGAAUGUGGGUGUGGCAAAUGUCUCAGAAGGGACCUCUCCCUAGUUUCUCAGACUGUAAAGGUGAGGGAGGAAAGAUGUAUUUUCCGAUUUGCAAUAUUUGGUUAAUGUAGCUUUACAAUAAAUUAGAAUUUGAUCAUCAGGUCUUGUUUCCUGUCUGGUCUACCUUGCAAAGCCAACAAUAUGUUUGUACUAGGAAUCAGCCUAGGAAACUUUGGAACUUAAUAGACAUUUUUCUUAUUUGAAGUAACACCUUUGGCCACUGAUUAUGCCUUGAUGAGUUUCUGAUCUGCAAUUUAUUUUGACUGUGCUGCAAUUGCUUCAUUUUACUGUAACUAAUUAUUCUGCUUCAGUCAUUAUGAAAUGUAUAUAUCACUAGAGCAGGACAUAUUUAGCUCAGGGUUGAACUCAACAUGUGUGUAUGAUUUUACAUCAAGUUCUCACUUUUUUCUAAAACUUGUUGCUGUCAUGCCUGUUACCUCAAUAAAUUUUGAAUUUCUUUCUUUUUUUUUUUGUGCAAUUUAUCUCAGUGGUCAUCUU